GCGUGGGUGAAGAAGGCCUUCGGGUUGUAAAGCCCUUUCGACGGGGACGAUCGUGACGGUACCCGUAGAAGAAGCCCCGGCUAACUCCGUGCCAGCAGCCGCGGUAAUACGGAGGGGGCUAGCGUUGUUCGGAAUUACUGGGCGUAAAGCGCGCGUAGGCGGCCGAUCAAGUCAGGUGUGAAAGCCCGGGGCUCAACCUCGGAUGUGCGCCUGAAACUGGUAGGCUCGAGUCCGGAAGAGGGUGGUGGAAUUCCCAGUGUAGAGGUGAAAUUCGU
rnacentral:rRNA from 1 species